rnacentral:rRNA from 1 species
CGGUAAUUCCAGCUCCAAUAGCGUAUACUAAAGUUGUUGCAGUUAAAAAGCUCGUAGUUGGAUUUCUGCGGGGACGGAGCGGCCGGUCGCAACUUGCGACUCGAGCUAGCGCUUUCCCCGCAUCCUGCCGCGAACCGUGCUACCAUUAGUUUGGUGGCGCUGGGGAUCGGCUCGAUUACUUUGAGAAAAAUAGAGUGUUCAAAGCAGGCCACACGCCUUGAAUAAGUUAGCAUGGAAUAAUGACUAAGGACUUCGGUUCUAUUUUGUUGGUGUUCGGGACUGAAGUAAUGAUUGAUAGGGACAGUUGGGGCGGUCUGUAUUCCAAAGCGAGAGGUGAAAUUCUUAGACCUUCGGAAGACAAACAGCUGCGAAAGCGUUCCGCAAGGAUGUUCCCUUUGAUCAAGAACGAAAGUUGGGGGAUCGAAGACGAUCAGAUACCGUCGUAGUCUCAACUAUAAACUAUACCAGCUAGGGAUCGGUCAACGUUUAAUUAUUCGACUUGAUCGGCACCUUAUGAGAAAUCAAAGCAUCUGGGUUCCGGGGGGAGUAUGGUCACAAGGCUGAAACUUAAAGGAAGUGACGGAAGGGCACACCAGCCGUGGAGCCUGUGGCUUAAUUUGACUCAACACGGGAAAACUUACCAGGUCCAGACAUAGUAAGGAUUGACAGAUUGAUAGCUCUUUCUUGAUUCUGUGGGUGGUGGUGCAUGGCCGUUCUUAGUUGGUGGAGUGAUUUGUCUGGUUAAUUCCGUUAACGAACGAGACCCCAGCCUGCUAAAUAGCGCGGCUGAGCUUUGCUCGGUGCGAGCUUCUUAGAGGGACUAUGAUGCGCGAUAGCACAUGGAAGUUUGGGGCAAUAACAGGUCUGUGAUGCCCUUAGAUGUUCUGGGCCGCACACGGGCUACACUGGCGCCUGCAACGAGCAUAUCAGCUGGCCCGAGAGGGUCUUGGCUAAUCUUUUGAACCGGCGCCGUGCUUGGGAUUGACCUUUGCAAUUGUUGGUCAUGCAACGAGGAAUGCCUUGUAAACGCGAGUCAUCAGCUCGCAUUGAAUACGUCCCUGCCCUUUGUACACACCGCCCGUCGCUCCUACCGAUGAAUGUUCCGAUGAAAUUUUCGGAGAGCGCCAGAGAACGGGGCUCUGCCUUGCAGAUCUGGAGGCUCAAAGUCACUUAAAUCUGGACAUUUCGAGGAAGGAGAAGUCGUAACAAGGUAGCCG